UACGUAGGGGGGCAAGCGUUGUCCGGAUUUAUUGGGCGUAAAGCGUGCGCAGGCGGUUAUUUAAGUCAGGUGUGAAAGCCCUGGGCUUAACCUAGGAAUUGCGCUUGAGACUGGAUAGCUUGGAGUGCGGCAGAGGGAGGUGGAAUUCCACGUGUAGCAGUGAAAUGCGUAGAGAUGUGGAGGAACACCGAUGACGAAGGCGGUUCUCUGGGCAUUACCCGACGCUGAGGAGCGAAAGCGUGGGGAGCAAACAGG
rnacentral:rRNA from 1 species